UACGGGGGGGGCAAGCGUUGUUCGGAAUUACUGGGCGUAAAGGGUGCGUAGGCGGUCCGCUAAGUUGGAUGUGAAAACUCUGGGCUUAACCCAGAGCCUGCAUUCAAAACUGACGGGCUAGAGUUCUGGAGGGGGUAGCGGAAUUCCUGGUGUAGCGGUGAAAUGCGUAGAUAUCAGGAGGAACACCGGUGGCGAAGGCGGCUACCUGGACAGGAACUGACGCUGAGGCACGAAAGCUAGGGGAGCAAACAGG
rnacentral:rRNA from 1 species